GACGAACGCUGGCGGCGUGCUUAACACAUGCAAGUUGAGCGGAAAGGCUCCUUCGGGGGUACUCGAGCGGCGAACGGGUGAGAAACACGUGAGUAAUCUGCCCUGCGCUCUGGGAUAGCCACCGGAAACGGUGAUUAAUACCGGAUAUGACCGCUACACGCAUGUGUUGGUGGUGGAAAGUUUUUCGGCGCAGGAUGUGCUCGCGGCCUAUCAGCUUGUUGGUGAGGUAAUGGCUCACCAAGGCUUUGACGGGUAGCCGGCCUGAGAGGGUGACCGGUCACACUGGGACUGAGACACGGCCCAGACUCCUACGGGAGGCAGCAGUGGGGAAUAUUGGACAAUGGGCGGAAGCCUGACCCAGCAACGCCGCGUGAGGGAUGACGGCCUUCGGGUUGUAAACCUCUUUCAGUACCGACGAAGCGAAAGUGACGGUAGGUACAGAAGAAGGACCGGCCAACUACGUGCCAGCCGCCGCGGUAACAC
rnacentral:rRNA from 1 species